UCAAGUGAAGAAGCGCAUACGGUGGAUGCCUUGGCAGUCAGAGGCGAUGAAAGACGUGGUAGCCUGCGAAAAGCUUCGGGGAGUCGGCAAACAGACUGUGAUCCGGAGAUGUCUGAAUGGGGGAACCCAGCCAUCAUAAGAUGGUUAUCUUACACUGAAUACAUAGGUGUAAGAGGCGAACCAGGGGAACUGAAACAUCUAAGUACCCUGAGGAAAAGAAAUCAACCGAGAUUCCCUUAGUAGUGGCGAGCGAACGGGGACCAGCCCUUAAGUUGUAUUGAGAUUAGCGGAACGCUCUGGAAAGUGCGGCCAUAGUGGGUGAUAGCCCUGUACGCGAAAAUCCCUUUGCAAUGAAAUCGAGUAGGACGGGGCACGAGAAACCUUGUCUGAAUAUGGGGGGACCAUCCUCCAAGGCUAAAUACUACUGACUGACCGAUAGUGAACCAGUACCGUGAGGGAAAGGCGAAAAGAACCGCGGAGAGCGGAGUGAAAUAGAUCCUGAAACCGUAUGCGUACAAGCAGUGGGAGCCCACUUUGUUGGGUGACUGCGUACCUUUUGUAUAAUGGGUCAGCGACUUAUUUUCAGUGGCGAGCUUAACCGAAUAGGGGAGGCGUAGCGAAAGCGAGUCUUAAUAGGGCGUCUAGUCGCUGGGAAUAGACCCGAAACCGGGCGAUCUAUCCAUGGGCAGGUUGAAGGUUGGGUAACACUAACUGGAGGACCGAACCGACUACCGUUGAAAAGUUAGCGGAUGACCUGUGGAUCGGAGUGAAAGGCUAAUCAAGCUCGGAGAUAGCUGGUUCUCCUCGAAAGCUAUUUAGGUAGCGCCUCAUGUAUCACUGUAGGGGGUAGAGCACUGUUUCGGCUAGGGGGUCAUCCCGACUUACCAAACCGAUGCAAACUCCGAAUACCUACAAGUGCCGAGCAUGGGAGACACACGGCGGGUGCUAACGUCCGUCGUGAAAAGGGAAACAACCCAGACCGUCAGCUAAGGUCCCAAAGUCAUGGUUAAGUGGGAAACGAUGUGGGAAGGCUUAGACAGCUAGGAGGUUGGCUUAGAAGCAGCCACCCUUUAAAGAAAGCGUAAUAGCUCACUAGUCGAGUCGGCCUGCGCGGAAGAUGUAACGGGGCUCAAACCAUGCACCGAAGCUACGGGUAUCAUCUUUGAUGAUGCGGUAGAGGAGCGUUCUGUAAGCCUGUGAAGGUGAGUUGAGAAGCUUGCUGGAGGUAUCAGAAGUGCGAAUGCUGACAUGAGUAACGACAAUGGGUGUGAAAAACACCCACGCCGAAAGACCAAGGUUUCCUGCGCAACGUUAAUCGACGCAGGGUUAGUCGGUCCCUAAGGCGAGGCUGAAAAGCGUAGUCGAUGGAAAACAGGUUAAUAUUCCUGUACUUCUGGUUAUUGCGAUGGAGGGACGGAGAAGGCUAGGCCAGCCUGGCGUUGGUAGUCCAGGUUUAAGGUGGUAGGCUGAGAUCUUAGGUAAAUCCGGGAUCUUAAGGCCGAGAGCUGAUGACGAGUGUUCUUUUAGAACAUGAAGUGGUUGAUGCCAUGCUUCCAAGAAAAGCUUCUAAGCUUCAGGUAACCAGGAACCGUACCCCAAACCGACACAGGUGGUUGGGUAGAGAAUACCAAGGCGCUUGAGAGAACUCGGGUGAAGGAACUAGGCAAAAUGGCACCGUAACUUCGGGAGAAGGUGCGCCGGUGAGGGUGAAGCAUUUACUGCGUAAGCCCACGCCGGUCGAAGAUACCAGGCCGCUGCGACUGUUUAUUAAAAACACAGCACUCUGCAAACACGAAAGUGGACGUAUAGGGUGUGACGCCUGCCCGGUGCCGGAAGGUUAAUUGAUGGGGUUAGCGCAAGCGAAGCUCUUGAUCGAAGCCCCGGUAAACGGCGGCCGUAACUAUAACGGUCCUAAGGUAGCGAAAUUCCUUGUCGGGUAAGUUCCGACCUGCACGAAUGGCGUAACGAUGGCGGCGCUGUCUCCACCCGAGACUCAGUGAAAUUGAAAUCGCUGUGAAGAUGCAGUGUAUCCGCGGCUAGACGGAAAGACCCCGUGAACCUUUACUAUAGCUUUGCACUGGACUUUGAAUUUGCUUGUGUAGGAUAGGUGGGAGGCUUUGAAGCGUGGACGCCAGUCUGCGUGGAGCCAACCUUGAAAUACCACCCUGGCAACUUUGAGGUUCUAACUCAGGUCCGUUAUCCGGAUCGAGGACAGUGUAUGGUGGGUAGUUUGACUGGGGCGGUCUCCUCCUAAAGAGUAACGGAGGAGUACGAAGGUGCGCUCAGACCGGUCGGAAAUCGGUCGUAGAGUAUAAAGGCAAAAGCGCGCUUGACUGCGAGACAGACACGUCGAGCAGGUACGAAAGUAGGUCUUAGUGAUCCGGUGGUUCUGUAUGGAAGGGCCAUCGCUCAACGGAUAAAAGGUACUCCGGGGAUAACAGGCUGAUACCGCCCAAGAGUUCAUAUCGACGGCGGUGUUUGGCACCUCGAUGUCGGCUCAUCACAUCCUGGGGCUGAAGCCGGUCCCAAGGGUAUGGCUGUUCGCCAUUUAAAGUGGUACGCGAGCUGGGUUUAGAACGUCGUGAGACAGUUCGGUCCCUAUCUGCCGUGGACGUUUGAGAUUUGAGAGGGGCUGCUCCUAGUACGAGAGGACCGGAGUGGACGAACCUCUGGUGUUCCGGUUGUCACGCCAGUGGCAUUGCCGGGUAGCUAUGUUCGGAAAAGAUAACCGCUGAAAGCAUCUAAGCGGGAAACUUGCCUCAAGAUGAGAUCUCACUGGAACCUUGAGUUCCCUGAAGGGCCGUCGAAGACUACGACGUUGAUAGGUUGGGUGUGUAAGCGCUGUGAGGCGUUGAGCUAACCAAUACUAAUUGCCCGUGAGGCUUGACCAU
rnacentral:rRNA from 1 species